GGACAGGAACCUAGCCCAAGAGCUCAUGAACCAAAGCAGAGUAGCUCAGCAAAGCAGGGUCAGUCUGCCCUUUCCCACUAGUAUGAAGAAGUACAAGAAAGACAAGUUGAUUCUCUGCAAUUUACCUACCUCUUACUGAGAAAAGAAGGUUUGAAAUCCUGGUUGAAGGUUCCAGUGCAUUUUGUAUUGCAAGUAUUUCAAUUUCUGUUCUGCCUUCUACUGGUGCCAAGCAAUAGGACAAGAGGCAAAAGUUGUAACACCGGAAGGCCCCUGCACAUGAGGAAGAACUUCCCUACUAUGAGAUUUUCUAAGAGUUUGCUUUGGAUUGCAAGUAAAGCAACUGUAAAGCAACUCCCAAAGUUAAAUGAACUCCAGGUAGGUUUUCUUUGAGGACAUAGUGCUCUAAAAGAAAAAUAUUUUUCAACAAUUAUUCCAUUGAGGGGUCAUUUUGGCUUCUGAAGCAUUUAUUUUAGUGGCAAUAAUUCCAUGUCCAUUGAAGUAAUUAACACAAGCAAAGCUAUUGAGUUAAGCAAAGCUAGCCAAGCUGCGGGACUCAGAUAUGAAAUGGGAGCAAAUACAACGUUUUAGCAGUACUGGUGUUUCCAAUCCAUCAGUUACUGUUGUA